rnacentral:lncRNA from 1 species
UGUAGCCCCAAAAAGGGUGAGCAGUGCCCAGCUGCUGAGAGAGGAGGGACUGUGCAAACAAUACUGCUGGCACCAAUAAGAAGCGCUGGGACUGACUGAGCUUUGCUCCCCUUUGGGAUCAGACCGAUUGUCACAGCUAAGUGGGACACAUUUCUCAUGCUACCGGGGCCUCUGAAAUGGAGGGAUUUGUGUUGUGUACUGAGAUUCAUGUGUUGGGCACUGGCACUGCCUUAGGUUCAGCAACCACUCGCAUUUAAUCUUUCUGUCAAAAGCUGACAAAGCUUUUUCCCUAGGCCCAUGUUUAUCUCUCCACCUGGAGAAGUUGAUGUAACACGUAGAUAAGUCAUCCCUCUUACUCAGGACGGAGAAGGGAAACUGCAAUCAAAUGAAAAAACUAUAUUUGGAAUCUGACAAGAGCAAGAAUCAAAAGAAAUGCUGAGUCCCCAGCCUUGGACUGCAUAAACAUCCUCCCUGAUGUGUGAGCAGAUAUCCGUACAUGUGGGUAUCUGCCACUGUCCAUCCUGCAAGGCAGCAGAAAUGCACCACUACAUCACAAACCUCAUGUUCCAGCAAUUAAGUCACCUCCUGGAAAUAUUCUGGGAUUAAAAUGGACACAAAUUUUGGCCUUUACUGUCAGCUGUAAAGAGAAGUUUGGAUAUGCUGUGAGAAGGAGCUUGCUGAUACAUGACACAAAGCAGCAUUUUUCAUGCCCUGGAAUGGCUUCUGCCUGCAGGCAUAUGGAAGACCAUGGUCUGCUCCUGUAGGACCCUUGGAAGAAAGCAAAUUUAAACUCUGCCAAGGAAUUGCCUAGAUUCUCUGUGUAACACUUUACCCUAGCAAUUGAAUAUAUUUAGGGGACACAGAUCAGGACUUGUGGAAAAGUGCAAAACACAGUGUGGAAAACAUUGAAAAAUGGCCCAUUCUAUGAGGAUUUAAAGAACCGUAAGGAGGAGCCAGUCUGCAGGGUGAUACCAUUUCCUCCUCAGGAAUGGAGGGGAAGGUUAUCUUUGAUCUGAUCCACUUUCAUGAUCAGAAGAGGGAUUUUGAAGCACUUUCACCCAGCUCCGACCGAGUGAAAUUCUUACAGAAGGUAGAAGAAAGGGAAGACAUCUUUUGCUGACAUUGGUCUGGAGACUAAUAGAGGGGGAUGGGGCUCUAGCAGGAAGCAGCUUGUAAAAAUUCCUGCAGCAGUAUCAGCAUUGCACUUUACUCCCUCCUGAGCAGUUUUUUGGCCCAAAGAGGAUCAGAGCUGUUUGCUGAGCUGGGCUGAGCCGCAUGAACAUCCCUGGCACAGUCAGGCGGUGGGACUGACUGCAGCGGGUCUGCUCACCACGGGGGAAAGGACACCAGAACAAAGCCUCGCUGUCCCGAAGGGAAAGUAGGAGAUGCACCGGCACUAUUUCAUCCUCUGCAGCUGGAGCACAUCACAGAGGCUGGCUAACAAUACUUGACAGAGGCUCAGAGCAGAGCAUGAGUUAGAUCUCGCCUGUGGCUGAUGUGAGAAGUGGAAUUAAAAUGUGGUUUCUUGAUCUGGAAUUCUCGUCAGAUAAUCAAUUCUUGUGGGAAAUACAAUAAGCCCUUUGAUGACUCAUUAUUCCAGAUCUUUUUGAUGAUAUUUCAAGUGGUCCAAGGGAUUUAUC